rnacentral:rRNA from 1 species
UACGUAGGGUGCAAGCGUUUAUCCGGAAUUAUUGGGCGUAAAGAGCUCGUAGGCGGUUUGUCGCGUCUGCUGUGAAAACCCGAGGCUCAACCCCGGGCCUGCAGUGGGUACGGGCAGACUAGAGUGCGGUAGGGGAGACUGGAAUUCCUGGUGUAGGCGGUGAAAUGCGCAGAUAUCAGGAGGAACACCGGUGGCGAAGGCGGGUCUCUGGGCCGAUACUGACGCUGAGGAGCGAAAGCGUGGGGAGCGAACAGG